rnacentral:tRNA from 1 species
GCCGAGAUGGUGAAAUUGGCAAACACGCAACGUUCAGGGCGUUGUGGGCGUAAGCCCUUGGGGGUUCAACUCCCCCUCUCGGCACCA